rnacentral:rRNA from 1 species
GAUGAACGCUGGCGGCGUGCUUAAUACAUGCAAGUCGAGCGAACAGACGAGGCGCUUGUUGCUCUGACGUUAGCGGAGGACGGGUGUGUAACACGUGUAUAAUCUACCUAUAAGACUGGUAUAACUUCGGGACACCGGCGCUAAUCCCGGAUAAUAUAUUGAACCGUAUGGUUGAUUAGUAAAGGUCGGUUUUGCUGUCACUUCUCGCUGGAUCCGCGCCGCAUUAGCUAGUUGGUAGGGUAACGGCUUUCCAAGGCAACGAUGCGUAGCCGACCUGAGAGGGUGAUCGGCCACACUGGAACUGGGACACGGUCCAGACUCCUACGGGAGGCAGCAGUAGGGAAUCGGACGCAAUGGGGGGAAGCUUUACGGAGCAACGCCGCGUGAGAGAUGGAGGUCUUCGGUUCGUAAAACUCUGUUUUGAGUGAAGAACAAAUGUGUAAUUAAAUGUGCACGGCUUGACGGUACCGGAUCAGAAAGCAACGGCUAACUACGUG